rnacentral:lncRNA from 1 species
CAGACAUGUGAUUGGCAUACACAUACCUUUUUUUCCUUUAUCAUAGAGACGCUCUCUGUGCUGUGACAUCUUUCUGUCCUAUAGAAGCUUAAAUAAACCUGCAGUCUUUUUGCAUUAAAAAAUGAUAUGAAUUGAAUUACAAAAAUGAUAUGACCUAUGGUGACUCAUUUAACAUGCUUUUAGGACUCACUUGUUCAUUUUCAUAGACAUGUUCUUCGCAUAUGGUUUCUUCCAAAGUAAAAUGAUUGUGCUAUUAUAUGUUGACGGAUGAAGUUUGUAUAUUUCAGUAAAAAGAGGGCUCAGACAUGGCGACAAGAAUGAAGGUGGAGGGAAAGGAGUGGAGAGAAAGUAUUCUGGAGGUGAGCUUAAAUGAAAGUAUUUCCUUCUAUCACUAUUCCUGUCGCGAGGCAUGUUUGUUCCCAUGAUGUAAUGUUUCAUUUUCAUUUACGAUUCUUCUAGAAUCCAGUAAAAGUAAACAUGGUCUGAGGUUACCUAAUCUUAUACUGCAAUUUCAGAAUUUCCUAGAUUAUUUUGACAGUUUCAACACAUGUUCUUCUUACUAAAAUAAACCUACAGUCUUUUUGCAUUAUAAAAAUGAUAUGACAUACUAUAGGAACUUAACUGUGGGAACAGAACAGGUGGCAUAACUGAUUAGAUUUUGUAAAUUGGGGAAUAAGUGCUAUGUUCAAAUGUAGUUGCUGAAAAGACACAUUUGAGAUGCCAGAACUUGUUCAGUGUAGUUGGAGUAAAAGUUAAAGAUGCAAUCUGAGUACUAACAUUAUGAAGUUUUGAACAGGAGUCUAGUAUAACUACUUUGCUUGCUGAAACAGGUCAGGAUGGCAAACCUAGGGAGUUCGGGCAUAUGACGUCCAAAUGAGGCAUGUGAUUGUAAUAUGAUGUGUUUGUGAAAUGCGAGCAGUAGCCUUGUGAUUUUGAUAGCUCGGUGAUGGCGGGCGAAGCCACCAAGCAUCGACACACAUCCUAACCAAUUUGAUUUGGUGUCAUCUUGGAUCUGACUAAUGGAUUAAUAUUCUUGUAGGUUGAUUUGAAUCCCCGGGUAUGUGGUUAUGCAUGAGCUGUGGAAGCAAAGGUGUGUGUCGGCUGGUUAUGCAUGAGCUGUGGAAGCAAAGGUGUGUGUCGGCUGGAGCUGAUUUACGGGGCUGUCAUUUGGAUGGUACCAAACUGUAAUAAUACAGACUCCCACUCAAAAUUUCACUGCACCAAAGGCUCUCGUAAGUGCCUGACUUUGUUUCUUCAUACUACGUGAUAUAAUACAUAUUGUCUGUACUGGAUUGCCAAAAUUAGAUUUAUUUGUUUCUCUCUCCUGCAUUUUUUGCAUCGUCCUCCAUACAAAAACAUGGUGGGAUUUGGUCCAGGUGACAACAUACAAGACCGUAACAAUCAGCCUGUUUUAAUUUACUGAAACUGGGUAGAUGCUAGAUAGAGACGUCAUUAUCCUUGGUGGUAGAUUGGAAGCUUGCUACAUGUUUUUCUCAAUGGGCAUACCUGCUGUUAUCUUGCCAAAGCCCAAGUUUAUACAAUUUGCUUCUCUAACUACAAUGUCAGUACAUUAUGCUAGGUAUGUGCCUCUUUAGUUGCCUCUUUCUGCUUUGUUCUGUGUUUUCUGUUUAGUUAUGGGGUGCCUUACUGUUGUGCAAAAUUAUGGCCUAACCUUACUGGGCAGAAUUAUGGCCUAACUUCACUGUACACUUGCAAUCUUUCUCCUGCAUGAUCUACCAAAUGGUGUUAAAAUUUACUGGGCAGAAUUAUAGACUGAUUAGAUUUUGCAACUUUGGGGAAUAAGUGAUAUGUUCAAAUAAGUUAAAGAUGCAAUCUGAGUAUUAACAUUAUGAAGUUUUGAACAGGUCAGGAUGGCAAACCUAGGGAGUUCAGGCACCAUGAAACAUAACUUCCUUUGCCAUCGGAGAGAAAGAAGACGGUAGGCGCGCUCAGGAGAUGACGCAGCAACAACCGUCGAGCGGAGGUUGUGUUUGGAGGCGACCAGCAGAGGCUGCAGCUCCCACAGCUCGCGUGCGAACGAUGUGGCCGGACGACGAUUGAAGCGGCGUUUCUGUUUUGGCGGCGUGCUUUCGCGUGUGGAUGGAGCUCGUACGCCAGGAAGAACUGGCGUCUUGAUGGAGCUCGUACGCCAGGAAGAACUGGCGUUCGUUGGCGGGUCGAAGAAGUUUGAUUUUUGGUCGAUGGACCUCGUCCUCGUUCGUGGGUUGCGGAGCUGUUUUUUUGUUGACUGGGCGCGAUCGUGGGGUUCCAUGGACUUAUCGUUCGUGUGUUGAACUGUGGAUCUCGUACGUGGGCUGAGUUGUUGUAUUUUUUUUUGCGGGCGCUGAGUUGGUGUUUUUUCGUACGUGGGCUAUGUUGGUGGGCUGCUGCGUGCGUGUGGGAGUUCGAAGGGAGGGGGAUCGAACGAGGUCGAACCAUCACGACGUUCGAUCCCCCUUUAAUAGUAGAGAUUCUCAAUGGGCAUACCUGCUGUUAUCUUGCCAAAGCCCAAGUUUAUACAAUUUGCUUCUCUAACUACAAUGUCAGUACAUUAUGCUAGGUAUGUGCCUCUUUAGUUGCCUCUUUCUGCUUUGUUCUGUGUUUUCUGUUUAGUUAUGGGGUGCCUUACUGUUGUGCAAAAUUAUGGCCUAACUUUACUGGGCAGAAUUAUGGCCUAACUUCACUGUACACUUGCAAUCUUUCUCCUGCAUGAUCUACCAAAUGGUGUUAAAAUUUACUGGGCAGAAUUAUAGACUGAUUAGAUUUUGCAACUUUGGGGAAUAAGUGAUAUGUUCAAAUAAGUUAAAGAUGCAAUCUGAGUAUUAACAUUAUGAAGUUUUGAACAGGUCAGGAUGGCAAACCUAGGGAGUUCAGGCACCAUGA